AUGACUAAAAUUACUUUUUCCAACAGUUUCAACCUACAAAUAAAAUCAAGACUCAUCGGUCUUUUGGGGGCCCAAAGCCAAGUUCUCAAAGCAGCACUGCGCAUGAGAAUAGAACACAGUCAGCCUGCCAUCUCUUUUGAUUCCUGCAUCUGUACGUUCUGGCUUUUCACUAAUUGCAGGAGAUCCAGAAGGCAUCAUCUGAAUCCUUGGGUCACUGUUGAAAUUGCCGGCUGAACUAAAUCUACCUGAUAACCAAGAUAUAGCCUUUCUGACUUUGGAAGGUAGGUAAAUACAGAUUGUAUUUAGGAUGUGUGCAUUAAGAUUUAGGAAGUACAUAGGACUUUAUAUAGGAUUUUGCUAAAAAAAUUUUUUUAAAGGUAGGUUUCAUGGUCCCAUCAAAAGUAUCCCUCCAGGGCUAUAUUUCCAAACUUUGCCAUUUCAGCAGCUGCGAUGUAUGAAGCCUUGGAAGAAAGGGUCUUCCAAGGCAAAAAUAUGCUAUGUAAAUUUGUCAAAAAUUUACUGUGUAAUAAAGAAGUUUUUCAGCUCAUACUACAAAUACCAGAAAAUGGCCAGCAGUACCAUGAGCACAGGAAUAG
rnacentral:lncRNA from 1 species